GUUACACUGUAAACAGAAACACUCUCACUAUCAGAGGAGUAAUUACAUCUGAUCAGGAUCAGUACUGGUGUAGAGGACAGAGAGAUAAAAGACCAAACUCAUCACAAUCAAGAUCUGUUUCUCUCACUGUGAGUGGAUUUACCCAGAUCUACACUGACUGUGACUCCAGACAGUCCUGUAUUCACUGGAGAGACAGUCAACCUGAAGUGUGUUAUAGAAUCUAAUCACAGUGACUGGAGAUAUGAGUGGUAUAAAGACAGUGUAAUGUUACAGUCAUCUGAUUGUUACACUGUAAACAGAGACACUCUCAGUAUUAAAGCACUGAAUGAGUCUGAUCUGGAUCAGUACUGGUGUAGAGGACAGAGAGAUGAGAGACCAAACUCAUCACAGGAGGGUAACCGAAUACAUCUGUCUGCUAAUGUCUCAGAUGCUUCAUCUUCUCUUCUGGUCACUGCUGUGGUUGUGGGAUCAAGUGUUUGCUUGUUGAUCUUCAUCUCACUGCUACUGCUGUGGAGAUACAAGAAGAACAAAG